rnacentral:rRNA from 1 species
CAGUGCCGCGGGAACACGUAGGGUGCAAGCGUUAAUCGGAAUUACUGGGCGUAAAGCGUGCGCAGGCGGUUAUAUAAGACAGAUGUGAAAUCCCCGGGCUCAACCUGGGAACUGCAUUUGUGACUGUAUAGCUAGAGUACGGCAGAGGGGGAUGGAAUUCCGCGUGUAGCAGUGAAAUGCGUAGAUAUGCGGAGGAACACCGAUGGCGAAGGCAAUCCCCUGGGCCUGUACUGACGCUCAUGCACGAAAGCGUGGGGAGCAAACAGGAUUAGAUACCCCAGUAGUCCCUGUCUCUUAUACA